ensembl:lncRNA
AUUUAAUAGAAUAGUAUUAUUAUUAUUAUUUACAUUUUGUUGUGAUCCAAGCACAAAAAAUCUAAAUAUUUUAAUCUAGAUGAUUAAUUUAAUUAAAUUCAUAUUUAGGCUCAGAACAUCAUAGAGACAAUUGGGCAAAGAGACAAUUUUUUGGUCAUUUUUUUGAUUAUGACAGGUGCAGUACCCAUUUACUUUUGUAAAAGAAAAACUAUCAGGAAAGCUUUCUGCUAAAUAAUUUUGUUGUAUUUUAUUUUAUUUCACUUCACUUCACAAAAUCACAAAAUUUUACUUCACAAAAUUAACUACAUGUUUCUCUGUUCAAGACUUCACCAGCAUGUCAUACUCCCACAUGGGAAAGUCUUUAACAGUUUUCCUGGAGGGGUGAUACCUGGUUUGUUAGUGAGAUAGUUAUGGUGUAAUGAUAAAUGGAGAGACUGAACAUGCUCUCAGAGGCACAGGUGGCCAGUGUGUGUGUGUGUGUGUGUGUGUGUGUGUGUGUACAUUAAAACUCAAAGCUUAAAACGGCAGAGGAGUACAGGUAACAUAACAAAAGAAUGCAGCAGAUUCAAAACAGGGUUGACAUGUCAGACAUUCUGCAUGGUGUCUCUGAACCAUCAGAAUAACAUUUGCAUAAUCUCGCCCAUGUUGCCUGAACUCUCUCUUUUAUUGUAAGGUAUGUGUGUGUCCUUGAAAGUGAUUUAGGAGUUGUCAGGACACAGGACACUCUGCACCUCCUUAUCAGCAGCCUGGUACCAACUGGAGUCUAUCCCCGGGAGGAAAAACAGGACCUUGUGUGUUUGAACAGGGCAGCACAUCCCCCACAGACGUCUGUCUCCCACCAUGCCCUGACCCUGGAUCUAUGUGUGGAACUCUCUCUACAUUUAUUUGUGUGGGCCUCGUCCUCUCCCAUUUCCUUUUAUUUUUUCACGUUCCAGAUCCUGGUAUUGUUGCUUACUAAAUCACGUCAGUAUAACCCUCAGACUGGCACACAGCUGAGGAGAUCUGUUUAAGGAAUAGCUCACACACAAAUGAAAAUGCAUCAUGCCAUUCCAAACUUGCAUGUCUUUUUCUUCCAUGAAACCCAACAGGAGAUGGGUAAAAGUAAGGGAAUGAAUGGACAGAUGAAUUCCUGGUCCUGAAUUGAAAUUGGUGCCACCUGGACCGGCAGAUCAUACUUGGAAGUAAGCAAUGGCAGAUUUAAUUAUGAAGUCAUCAAAUUAAAUGUCACAACCUCAUUUGAGUAGUGUCAGCAUAAAAUAUACAGUCCAAAUUAAAGUUCACAAACUCUGUGUCUUAAAGUAAAUAGACUGAAUGAAGAUAAUGAAAAGUAAUGCACUGUAUGAAAGGACGCUUUCAGGUGAGUCGCGUCACACUCGUUUCCUGCACUUUAUCGCAUUGCACGUUGCUUUUAUUUGUUGAUAAGCUGGAAUAUGUUUUGUUUAGUACAGUGGUCUCCAACCCUGCUCCUGGAGAGCUACCAUCCUACAGAUUUCAGCUCCAACCCCAAUCAAACACACCUGAAGCAGCUAAUCAAGGUGUUCAUGGCUACUUGAUAAUUACAGACAGGUGUGUUGGAGCAGGGUUGGUAGCUCUCCAGGAGCAGGGUUGGAGAUCCCUGGUUUAGUAACAUACUUUCACUGAGCUGUCAUCUUCAGAAGCUGUGUUUAAAACUGUCUGCAGGUGUUAAGCGUCAUGUUACCAAUCAUCUGAAGCUGUCAAACUGACUGCUUUCGCCACCCAGUGGAGCGGAUGGAAACUUACACUCCAGUUUCUAGUUUUAGUUGCAGACUAGCUCUGAGAUUUAAACUUCAUUUAUUUUACAACAAAAGAUAUGAUUUUGUCAUGGUCUCGGUCAGCAGAGUAUUCUACUAGUUUAGAUAAACGAACCGGAUCAGCUUUCAACUGAUGGGAUGUAGGAGAUCAGAUUCACCAUCUCCCCUUGAGAAGCAUCUGGGCAGUGAGUUUGAACAGGAAGCUCUUAGUAAGGAUGAGGAGGAUGUGAAGCUCUGAGCUCUGGAUGAUCAUGAGGUUAUAGAUGGAGGACUGAGACUUUGGCUUCUACAGACCUACAGACACAGAUAUCACAUUUUAGUUCACGUUAAACCAUGGACGGAUUGAUCACAGAUCAUGUAUUGGUUAAUUUGAUAAAUGAUCAUUAAAAAAAAAUACCGUUAACAUAUGUAAUCUAUGAACUGCUGACUGAUAAAACAACUUAACAUUAAUAUUGUGUCUAAUGUAAGCUUUUUUUACUAACAUGCAUGAGAUCAGAUCAGUGUGUCAGCUCUCUCUUGUGGACAAUAAGUGUAUCUGCAUUAAUAAAAUAAUACAGCAGCAGGAGGAAAAGGCAGUUAUGUCUAAUCCUGCUCCUGUUGAGCCACUUUCCUGAGUUUAACUCCAACCUGAUUAAAAACACAUGGAACAGCUAAUCAAGGUCUUUAGGAAUACUAGAAACUUACAGGUAGGUUUACUGGGUUCUAUGUUUCUAAUUCAUAUAAAACUUGAUUUCAAUAAACAAAUGAUGCUGUUCAAAAGUUGUGUUGGUGUUAUCAGUUUAAUGCAUUUAAACACAAGACAGACUUAAACACAUUUGAAAGACUUUAGUUAAUAAAUAGAUUGUAUUUUUUUUUCCCGCAACAGUUUAUUUGGUACAAUAUUUCACUCAUUACUCAUCAAACAGAUUUAAUAUAAGCAUAUUCCCCUGCAACAUCUCAUAACAAACACAGAAUCUUUCUAGUCCUGCUAUGAGGCUUAAGCUCAGAAUGAGUUGAUCAAGCUGAGAUGAGCACUGAUGAAUCCUGUGGAUAAUGAAUUGUUUUUAUCCAAAAGAAAUUUAAUCGUAACCAAUUUUUUUAGUGGUUAGCUGUGGUAUCUCUAGUACAUAUAAAAGAGCUGUUGGCUCACGGAGACGAAAGCAAGAUGACCCAUAAAAAAAUAAAUACAUUUACACAAUUAUUUUCAUAUUUCUAUGUGACAAAAAUGAGCUCUUAAAGCUCAGUGGAUUGAGCCUUGUGUUUUCACAUGUGCUGAAAUCCAACUACAAAAAAAAAAAACCUGAUGAUGUGGUUUAAAUGCAGGUCUUUGAAGAACAAAACUACAACAGAGGUAAAUUCAAAUCUCAUAAAUGCAAUAAUCUCUUUCUGUUUUAACAAUGUAAAUUUACAAGACACAAAAUCACAAAUCUGUGGCACAGAGGUUAAUCAUUUGCCUUAAAAGUCCUCAAUAUCACGAUCAAAUCAUAGUUGAAAUCCACAGAGUCAGUGUCUCAGAAGAUUAAAAAUGUUACUUGUGUUAAACUGUAGUAGUAUUAAUGCUGUGUCUGUAGGAGGUAAAGCGUUGUUUUUUUAAUCUUGGAGGCCUGAGCUCAAAUCUCAAUAUUACUUGUGUUAACUUGCAGCUCUCAAUUAAUGCUGUAGCUAAACAUAACAUCUAAAUGACCCCUGAAACAAACUUUUGCAACAAACACCCUCAGCUCUGUGGCUUAGUGGUUGAGCGUUUGCUUCCCAAACACAGUGCUUCCCACUAAGCCUGUCAUUAAAUCCAACAAAGUGCCCCAGACAACUGCCCUCAUUGUGAAAGCCACGAUGGCACUAGUGGUUAAACACAUUGGUUGAGAACAAGGUUAUGGUAAAGGCUUGGGUUCAAAUCCUGCUCCAGCAUGUUUAAACUUUCACUGGUUUAUGUCACAGGUGAACGGUGAAAUAUAAGUUCUUUUACAUGUUCACACUAGAGAUCUGUGGCUCACAGGUAAGAGUACUGCCUCAUGGUUCAGAGGUGUCUCAUGGUUCAGCUGGUUCAAUUCCAGUCAGAUCUCUGCUAUAUGAGUGAAGGAGUGAUUCGAAAUAUACUCUGCCAAAGCUUUAACUAGUUUAUUGUAAAAGCACAUGUAGGUUAAUAGUGAAAUAUAAGUUCCUUCACAUUCAACAAAGUGCCACAAAAGCCAGGCACAAAAUGUGAAAACCACAAUGGGUUGGUGGUUAAUCAGAUGUUUUCGGAUGAUAAGACUGUGAUUGAGGCAUGGGUUCAAAUCCCACCUCAGUGACAACAAUCAGCCAACUGAUAGCUUUAACUGUUUUAUUAUAAAAGCACAUGCAGGUGAACAGUGAAAUAUAAGUUCCUUCACACACUCAGACAAGAGAUCUGUGGCUCACAGGUAAGAGCACUGCCUCACGGUUCAGAGGUUGCUGGUUCGAUCCCAGCCAGAUCUCCGCGAUAUGAGUGAGUGUUGUGUGAAUGAAGGGAUGGGGACGAUUUGGGUCCCCCCCGAGCCCCGGCACCAUGUCCAGC